rnacentral:rRNA from 1 species
AGGACGAACGCUGGCGGCGUGCUUAACACAUGCAAGUCGAGCGGAAAGGCCCUUCGGGGUACUCGAGCGGCGAACGGGUGAGUAACACGUGAGUAACCUGCCCCUAGCUCUGGGAUAGCUCCGGGAAACCGGGAUUAAUACCAGAUACGACCACUUUAGACAUCUGUCGUGGUGGAAAGGAUUCCGGCUAGGGAUGGGCUCGCGGCCUAUCAGCUUGUUGGUGGGGUAACGGCCUACCGAAGGCGAUGACGGGUAG